rnacentral:rRNA from 1 species
CCUACGGGAGGCUGCAGUGGGGAAUAUUGCACAAUGGGCGCAAGCCUGAUGCAGCCAUGCCGCGUGUGUGAAGAAGGCCUUCGGGUUGUAAAGCACUUUCAGCGGGGAGGAAGGCGGUGAGGUUAAUAACCUCAUCGAUUGACGUUACCCGCAGAAGAAGCACCGGCUAACUCCGUGCAGCAGCCGCGGUAAUACGGAGGGUGCAAGCGUUAAUCGGAAUUACUGGGCGUAAAGCGCACGCAGGGGGUCUGUCAAGUCGGAUGUGAAAUCCCCGGGCUCAACCUGGGAACUGCAUUCGAAACUGGCAGGCUAGAGUCUUGUAGAGGGGGGUAGAAUUCCAGGUGUAGCGGUGAAAUGCGUAGAGAUCUGGAGGAAUACCGGUGGCGAAGGCGGCCCCCUGGACAAAGACUGACGCUCAGGUGCGAAAGCGUGGGGAGCAAACAGGAUUAGAUACCCGAGUAGUC